UGUGCUCUUCCGAUCUUCCACGCUCACGGGAACAUCCGGGGUAGUAUUUUCCACCAUCCUGUCACUGGCAUUAGUCUCUUCCUGUUGCUGCUGUACAAUCUGGGAGCUGUUUCUGAGCCUGUUUAUUUAUUGAGCCCACCACUGCCCAUGCCCCUCACCCCAGCGCUGUGUGUCAGCCAGGUCACGCCCUCGUGACCUGCCCCCAGCCUGGGGAAGAACUUGGCCUUAACUUCCGCCAGAGCAGGGGGAAGUCUC